GUCCUAAUGAAGCAGAAGUGGGAGAGAAAAGCAUAAAUCCCUGUGGGACCACCUUAACCCAUUUUAAUUUGGUUUCUAAAGGAAACAAAGCAUAAGUUAUUGGCUUCUUUACCCACCAGCCCCCUCUAAUACCUUGGAAAUCCAUUUUGAUAGCAAGACAGACAUCUCAAAGUUAUUUAUCAUACUGAUGAUUUGAAGGUCCUCUUGCAGCGCCAAACUCUGGCCAAAGCUCUUAACUGUCCAAUAAAAUUCAGCUGAGCUACACCCUGUGAGCACUCAACAGCUAUCAAAAGAUGAGCACUGCAUCAAGGACCUUUGGGACAAAACCUUUGUACAGUGCUGGAAUGGGAUCUGAAGGGAUGUUUUUAACAACAGGAACAGGUAGAAUAAUCACUCACCUUGGUCUGCAGAGGUCAAUCGACAUUAGCCAUGUCAGAAACUCCUGGUUCAAAACAUCCUUCAAAUCUUCUGAACCUCCCAGAGAAGUAAAACUGCAAGAAAUGUGCCAUGCCGUAAAGACAGAGGAAACCAUCCAAAUGUGUAUAUAACAAUCUUAUCCCAAUUGCAUCAAGUUCACAGGUAUAUUUUAUUUUCUUUGUCUUCUAAUACCUUUGACUUAGUGCAUUGCUUGCCAGCUUGUCAAUCCUACCAACUUUUGCCUUUUUCUUUCCCUGUUGUUGGGAAAUGAGACUGUUCUGCAACAUUAGCAGUUCAUCUUUCUUCUUUGUUCACCACUUCCUAUCUCCACAGCCAAGAGGAUGCAUUUUCUUCUUCUCUUAUUUUUCAGUAUUGUGUAAUUCUUAACUAAAUUUAUCACUUCAUCCUUUUUUUUGUAUACAUAUAUAAAAUAAAAUCUUAAAAGGGAGUCUUUCCUCCCUCUAUAUUCUGAAACAGCCACAUAAAAAUCUCUGCCUCCCAGUCUAGAUCAAGGAUUACUUAACCAAAAAGAUUUGAAUCCAUAUGGCAUUUUCUUCAUCAUCUUUUCCUCCAGGCACCACUUAGAUUUUUGACAAGGUUAAACAUACAAGAAGUCCCUCUGCUGCCUUCUAGGCAGCACUGUAGAGCCAUGGAGUAGGAGAGACAGUUUGAAGGAAAGGACACUAUGCUCUUACUAACUGUUUUUCUGUGCUGCAAAAUAGAAGUGCCAGUGAAGAAGAGUGAAUAAAGGUACAUCUUGGUGGCUAGGGGCGUUCCCCUAAGUGUAGCAAAACAACACAACAACAACAAAACAGAACCUAUUUUGACAUGAUGAGAUCCUGCUACAGAACACUGCUUUGAUCUUGGUCAGUCUGGGAUAUCUAGCACUGAAUAUGUCUGUCAGUCUUAGGAGAUGAGAAGAACCAGUCCUGUACCACCCCAACCCCCCGUGCCCCAUGUCCUCUCUUAGACCCAGCAGG